CCCCCCCCCACCCCCCUCCAAUCAGGUCAACCUGACGAGGAGUAGGGGGAGAUGUAGGAAGGCCUGAGAGUUCGAGGGGGGGGGAAGCUGGUUUCCCUGAACAUUUCCCCCCAUCUUUUCACUUUGGGGUGGUGGAAUUUUUUUCAGUUGCAUUUUUGAGGAGGUGGUAGGUGUUUAGAAAAGGAUGUGGGAAUGGAAGGGGUAGAUGAGUCAAGCCUCUUACAAGAUUCCAAGGGUGGUGUGUUACCUGAUCCUUUUCGCGUGUGGAGUUCAGGGGGUCGGGAGGUUUGGCCUUCAUUCCCACAUUCAAAGUUGGAGCCUCCCCCGAAUUAAGGAUGGAGUUUUAGUAUCCACUUGUGGCAGGAAACCUGGGGGGAAGGGGUCCCUUUUUUCUUUUUCUUUUCUUUUUUUUUUUUUUUUGGGAGGGGGCAACCCACACCCUUCCACACACGCUCACCCCCAACUUAAACACCAAGAUCCUCUAACUUGUCUGGAUUGACUGAUGAAGACAUAAAGCCAGUUCCGCUCCAUGUUUUUUGGAGGUGGAGUGAGUGGUUUUUUCCUUCAUUUUUAAAUGGCCAAAUGACAGCUUGACCCAGUUUGCUUUCCAAUCAAAGGGCAUUUUUUUUUUUUUUUUUGAAUGUCUCUUUGUGGCGCAAGAGCCAACGCAAAAAUGAUGGCGGCUUACAAUGGCGGUACAUCUGCGGCAGCAGCAGGGCACCACCACCACCAUCACCACCACCUUCCACACCUCCCUCCUCCUCACCUUCACCACCACCACCACCCUCAGCACCAUCUUCAUCCCGGGUCGGCUGCUGCGGUCCACCCCGUGCAGCAGCAUACCUCCUCGGCAGCUGCGGCAGCCGCCGCCGCGGCCGCAGCUGCAGCCAUGUUAAACCCUGGGCAACAGCAGCCUUACUUCCCAUCACCGGCACCGGGUCAGGCUCCGGGACCAGCUGCAGCAGCCCCAGCUCAGGUACAGGCUGCCGCAGCUGCCACAGUUAAGGCGCACCAUCAUCAACACUCGCAUCAUCCACAACAGCAGCUGGAUAUUGAGCCGGAUAGACCUAUUGGAUAUGGAGCCUUUGGUGUCGUCUGGUCAGUAACAGAUCCAAGAGAUGGAAAGAGAGUAGCACUCAAAAAGAUGCCCAACGUCUUCCAGAAUCUGGUCUCUUGCAAAAGGGUCUUCCGGGAAUUGAAGAUGUUGUGUUUUUUUAAACAUGAUAAUGUACUCUCUGCCCUUGACAUACUCCAACCUCCACACAUUGACUAUUUUGAAGAAAUAUAUGUUGUCACAGAACUGAUGCAGAGUGACCUGCAUAAAAUUAUCGUCUCUCCUCAACCACUCAGCUCAGAUCAUGUCAAAGUUUUUCUUUAUCAGAUUUUGCGAGGUUUGAAAUAUCUCCAUUCAGCUGGCAUUUUACAUCGAGACAUUAAGCCAGGGAAUCUCCUUGUGAACAGCAACUGUGUUCUAAAGAUUUGUGAUUUUGGAUUGGCCAGAGUGGAAGAAUUAGAUGAAUCCCGUCACAUGACUCAGGAAGUUGUUACUCAGUAUUAUCGGGCUCCAGAAAUCCUGAUGGGCAGCCGUCAUUACAGCAAUGCUAUUGACAUCUGGUCUGUCGGAUGUAUCUUUGCAGAACUACUAGGACGAAGAAUACUGUUUCAGGCACAGAGUCCCAUUCAGCAGUUGGAUUUGAUCACAGAUCUCUUGGGCACACCAUCACUGGAAGCAAUGAGGACGGCUUGUGAAGGCGCUAAGGCACACAUACUCAGGGGUCCUCAUAAACAGCCAUCUCUUCCUGUGCUUUAUACCCUGUCUAGCCAGGCUACACAUGAAGCUGUUCAUCUCCUUUGUAGGAUGUUGGUCUUUGAUCCAUCCAAAAGAAUAUCCGCUAAGGAUGCCUUAGCCCACCCCUACCUAGAUGAAGGGCGACUACGAUAUCACACGUGUAUGUGUAAAUGUUGCUUUUCCACAUCUACUGGAAGAGUUUAUACCAGUGACUUUGAGCCCGUCACCAACCCCAAAUUCGAUGACACUUUUGAGAAGAACCUCAGUUCUGUUCGACAGGUUAAAGAAAUCAUUCACCAGUUCAUUUUGGAACAGCAGAAAGGAAACAGAGUGCCUCUCUGCAUCAACCCUCAGUCUGCUGCUUUUAAGAGCUUUAUUAGUUCCACUGUUGCUCAGCCGUCUGAGAUGCCCCCAUCUCCUCUGGUGUGGGAGUGACGGUGGAAGAUAAUGUACUACUGAAGAUGUUAUGUAGCUCUCCACUGGAGUCUGGGAUUUGCAAUUCUGGAGUUCAAUGUGGAGACUUGAAACUUGAAUGUCCCUUCCAACUUUUAUAUUAAAAAUAAAAAGACAAGAAAAUUGAAGAUCGUUUUUCACCUGUACAAGGAAUACUAAUGGAUCGUCUUAAAAUUGGUCUAGGAAAAAACCUUGGUGUGUGUUAUGGACAAUUAACUGUUAAAGUUAUUGUAAGUUAUCUGUAUUUAGCAGAAUAUUUUCAUCUUGAGUGAUCUGAGCUGAAUUUGAAGACUAUUAAUAAGUUAUGUUUGGAAGUUUUAACUUCAAUGAAGUAAUUAUUUGCUGUGAAAGAAACAAACAUUGAAUUACUAAACAAAGAUGGUGCAAUAUCUUUGUUUUCUUUUUACGAGGCUCCUGAGAAUCAACCCAACUGAAGCAUUUCAAUUCACUUGAAUGAGAAACGUGUUUAGUAUCAAAAGAGCCCAAGAAGACACUGGUGUGAAAGGUACAAUCUCAGAGGUUGGUCAGUUACCGUGGCACACUUACUGGUCACUUUGUACAAUGUAGAUUUGAAGUACAGUGGUGAAAACAUUAAAUGUGA